UACAGAGGUCCCGAGCGUUGUUCGGAUUCAUUGGGCGUAAAGGGUGCGUAGGCGGCGGGGCAAGUCUGAUGUGAAAUCCCGGGGCUCAACCCCGGAACUGCAUUGGAUACUGCCUUGCUAGAGUACUGGAGAGGGAACUGGAAUUCCUGGUGUAGCGGUGAAAUGCGUAGAGAUCAGGAGGAACACCCGUGGCGAAGGCGGCCCUCUGGCUCGACCCUGACGCUGAGGCGCGAAAGCGUGGGGAGCGAACGGG
rnacentral:rRNA from 1 species